rnacentral:siRNA from 1 species
UUCGGACCGCCUUGAAUUAUA